rnacentral:rRNA from 1 species
UACGUAGGGUGCAAGCGUUGUCCGGAAUUAUUGGGCGUAAAGAGCUCGUAGGCGGUCUGUCACGUCGGCUGUGAAAGCCCGGGGCUCAACCCCGGGUCGGCCGUGGCGACUGUUGGGCUGGAGCACUGUAGAGGCGGGCGGAAUUCCGGGUGUAGCGGUGGGAAUGCGUAGAGAUCCGGAAGAACACCGGUGGCGAAGGCGGCCCGCUGGGCAGGAAGGUGAGGAGCAAUCCUCACCGGCUGA